rnacentral:lncRNA from 1 species
AAAAUCCAUAUUAGAAAAAAAGAUAAUUGCCUCUAUACAUCUUAAAAUUUCUAAAAUAUUUUAUUUAUUCUUCUUUUUUUUUUAUUUCAAAUAUGUCCCUUAUAUAUCUUUUUCAUCAUUUAAAAAUACUUUUGCUGUUAAGUCAUUUCGGAUUAAAUUUGAGUUAAAUUUCAACCAUAGUUAAAAUGUAGUAAAAUGCAUAUUUUGCCUUUAGCUUCAUGACAAAUAAGAAAAGUUGGUGACGGAACAAAAAUAUAUUUGAAAAUACAAGAAGUCAAAAUAUUUUUUUUGUCCCGACUUUAAGGGCAUGUUUGGUUCGCUUCUUUUUCGCCCUGAAAUCGGAAUCGAAACGGGCGAAUCCGUUUGUGGGUGUUUGGUACGCGGGAGUUUCAUUUCGAUUCUGAUUCCCAAGUAGAGUGGGAAUCCUCCAAUCACCUCUUUGAAUCUAGAUGGAAUGAAUAUUUAUUCGGAUUAAAUUUAUUUUUUCAACUUUUUUUAAUUAAAAUAUGAGUUUAAGUUUAGAAAUUAAAUUUAUAAUUUUAAAUUUUUAAUUUGAACUUGAAUUAAAAAUUAAAAUUUAAUCAAGUAUAUUUUCGAAUCUAACUUAUGAAUUUAAAUUUAAAUUAAAUUCUAAUUUAUAUAAAGUUUUAUUCAAAUUUUUUUUAAAACUUAAAUUAAAUUUAUUAAUUCAAAUUAAUAUUUAAUUUUAAUUUUAAGUUUGAAUUUGAAUAAAUUGAAAUUUAGUAUUAUAUUUUGAAUUAUUCACUCAACUUCAAAGUUUAAUUUUUUUUUAAAAAAAAUAGAUUUAAAAUUUUGACAUAAAUUUUUAAUAUUUAAUUCUCAAUUUGAAUUUAAGUUAAUAUAUUAUAAACAUAAAGUUAGUAUAUUAAUCUGAUUACGUUUUUUUAUUUCUAUCUAAACCAAACACCGACAAUAGAAAUGAUUUAUUUCGAUUUUGAUUCCAGUGAUGAACCAAACAGAACUAAGUAAUGAGUCAUUCUGAUUCUGAUUCCAGGUUAUUUCGAUUCCGAUUCCGAUUCUGAUUUCGAUUUCAACUUUGAACCAAAUACGCCCUAAAGGUAAAUAAGAUAAACUGAUGACGGCAAAAUAAUAUAUUUGAAAGGACAAAAGAAUAAUUUUACAAAAAUAACAAACCAUUCCCAACCAUUCACUAUAAGGGUGCGUUUG